rnacentral:rRNA from 1 species
AUGAAUUAUUCAUCACCAAAUAUUAAAAUUUGUUGUCUAUAUACUAACCUUCUAACCAUGUUCCAUUUCAGGUGUGAGUACCAUUCCUCAUCCUCCAAGCAGGCAGAGGUGGUAACUCAUGAUGUCUCACCAACGUCAACACACUCGUCUCCACUCAUCUCGGCUCGUAAACCUCCUGGUUGGCAUAUACAGUUUUUCAUCAGAAUAGAUCUGGGGCGUUCUUACCACACGUAUCCUCGUCUGGGGGGGCCAUUCUGGAGCUUGGAGGAAGCUGAAAAGGCUAUCAAAAGCCAUCUUGAUGGCCUGCGCUCUCCAAUAAUGUGCAGAGAUGGGCUAUCGCCGGCGGAGGUUGCAGUGCGACAUCGCCUUUAUUGGCCUGAUGGCACAAGGAAGAAGUCGUCCGAAGGCAAUCCCGGGCGUAGGAAUAUGAACCUAUUGGUUCAAGCUUUACUGGAUAAAUACAAUGAAGAUCACCAUCUUUUGGGGGAUCUUGCAUAUGAACUUGAUAAUGUUGUGUGCUCCCGACAAAUUUACGAGGAGGAGGGCGGCCUUAUUAACAAAUUCUAUCAUAUCAAUUUGACUGCAAAAACCAAAGGAGAUGAUGGUUUUCACAGUGGUGUCGACAAUCUAUUCUUUGGUGAAAUCACACGAAUAGAAGGCGAAAAUGAAGAAUACAUGCUCAAUUGUUUCUGUAUGGUUAAACCUAUUGACAAUGGCGCAUGCUCAGGUUGUACGAAGUACGGGGAGUGUGAUUUGAAGCACCCUGUUGAUGCUGAUAAAUACAAAGGUGGCCACUCUACCCCGGUCAUUCAGUGUCGUGGUAUCAAUCAUACUCCUUUCUUGCAACCGGAUGUACCUGUAUACAUCCGGAAUAAGCAGGAUUGGUUGGAGUUUGAGAAGGCUAUGUUGGCGAAGGAGGAGGCUAAGAUAAGAUAUAUAUAUGAGUGCCCUGCUGAUUCUCCUAUUCAAGCAAAAGUGGAUGGUGCAAGAAUGCCUGCUUGUUUGGCCAAGGGACAAGAGGAUGCUGGUUUGGCCAAGGGACGAGAGAGUGCUGGUUUGGCCAAGAGAGGAGAGGGCGCUGGUUUGGCCAAGAGAGGAGAGGAUGCUGGUUUGGCCAAGCGAGAGGAUCACCAGGGAAGCGUGAAGUACAUUGUACCUGCUAGGCGUGGGAUGGUGUUUUGA